AACUAAUAUGAGAUAGACUCAUGACAUGCAAAGCGAGAUAUGUCAAGCCUUUAUUUGUUAUAAUUGUGAUGUUUAUGGCGUACAUCACAAUCGUAACAAAGGCUUGACAUAUCUCGCUUUGCAUGUCAUGAGUCUAUCUCAUAUAUUAGUU